rnacentral:rRNA from 1 species
ACGAACGCUGGCGGCGUGCUUAACACAUGCAAGUCGAACGCUGAAGACCUGGCUUUUGUUGGGUUGGAUGAGUGGCGAACGGGUGAGUAACACGUGAGUAACCUGCCCUCUUCUUUGGGAUAACGCCCGGAAACGGGUGCUAAUACUGGAUAUUCACUGGCCUUCGCAUGGGGGUUGGUGGAAAGGUUUGUUCUGGUGGGGGAUGGGCUCGCGGCCUAUCAGCUUGUUGGUGGGGUGAUGGCCUACCAAGGCUUUGACGGGUAGCCGGCCUGAGAGGGUGACCGGUCACAUUGGGACUGGGAUACGGCCCAGACUCCUACGGGAGGCAGCAGUGGGGAAUAUUGCACAAUGGGCGAAAGCCUGAUGCAGCGACGCCGCGUGAGGGAUGGAGGCCUUCGGGUUGUAAACCUCUUUCGCUCAUGGUCAAGCCGCAACUGUGGGUUGUGGUGAGGGUAGUGGGUAAAGAAGCGCCGGCUAACUACGUG